UAAUGAGGCUUAACAAUGUCCGUGCCCACAGCGGAAACAGUGCGAGACACUCGAUAGCGAAGUCUCAAGCACCAGUCUGUCAGCACCCUGAAGCGGACCGAAUACCUUACUCUAAAAUAAUAAUGACCGGAUGUUAAGCGCCCUACAUCAUCCGCAAAAGAGCACAUGUCCAGCGUGCAUGACAAGCUGUACCAGUCAAACUCGCCAAUGUACGACACCGUGUACCCCGCAGUCCACAGCCAGUAAUAAUGUGCUACUUCAGUUAUCUAUAGAAUGUAAGGAAACACGCAGCCAAACUCGUACUCUGCGCAAUCACUGCCUAAGAAAACCACCUUGAAGAAUGAUUGGUGCAGCACAGCAGCAUCAACCUCAUUCACCGUCCAGACCCGGAGCUCAGAAAGAGCCUGAGACAGACAAAGUGAUCUGACAGAACACCGACUGCGGUUUACAACGAAGAGCCAGCUUCCUCAGCGCGGAAGAACUGGAAUCAGUCAGCAGUCAGAUUCCCGUGGCACCCCAUGAAAGGAGGCUGGUCCAAAUCGAAUAACAUUAGCAAGCACACAGCCAAGCAGAGAGGGAGCUGGCCAACUGAACAUUAUCCCUGGGAUUUCAAUCAUGCAUAGGGUAUGACUGGUAUAGUGUGCUGGGCGUGUCACAUCAUUUGAAAUAAUAAUAUGCUGUGCAACGUGCAGUUAUUUUAAUAAAACAAGUGGAAAUGCAUUUCAGUUAUUAAACAAAAGACAAUUUAAUCUAUUAUUAUUAUUAUUAUUAUUAUUAUUAUUAUUAUUAUUAUUAUUAUUAUUAUUAUUAUUAUUAUUUUUAGUGUAGUAGUAUUUAUAUAUAAAUACUGCUAAGAAAUAAAUAAUAAUAAUAAUAAUAAUAUCUAUCUAUCUAUAUUAAAUGCAUGUAUUGACCUUAGCCAUUAUGUUGCCAGGUUGUGACUGAUCAAGUGAUUAUCAUGACAUUGAAUCCAUUUCAGAGACCUUAAGUACAGUACUAAGUCACCCUGUCAGUACUUAGUGUAUAAACUGUGAUAUAAUAUCAACCCAAGCAAGACCAGUACCCUUUAUACUGCAGUGUAAUUAAUUUUCUUCUGUUUGUAUUUCUCGGAUAUGUUUUGCUUCGGAAGUAUUUUUUCUCUGUUUAUUGAAUGGAAAUGUAAUUUGAAUCUAACAGCGUGCAUUUGUUUUAUUGUGUUGAAUUAAAACAGGUGUGGCUUUCAUGAUUUACAUCACCAUUAGCAGGUUGCUCUAACCCAGUUCCUGACCUGUGAAAUCGCGCCGCAAUAUAAUGUGAAAACGUUUCUGAUUUAUGAAGUAGACGUUCAGUUUUAUCAGUGUCAUCUGACCUCUGGACUGAUGGCAUUUCUCAAAAAUGUAUUUUAUGUUGUUAAACUUUUGAAUUAGCUGCAGUGUAUAAUUAUCUGCAGGGGUUUAUUAAAUGCAUGUGCAAGUUUACCACAGUAAAUUUGCAUGGUCAUUUUGUAGUUUUCACAUGUUUAUAAUUUGCAUUUACCAAACCAUGCCUCUGUGGGAUUUGCAAUGCUUACCUAUGCUUUACCAUGCAUCUACCAUACUUUAUUACACUUUGCUAUGCUUUUACUGUGGGGAGCUUGUCUGAGGGUACUGCAGACAUUUUUCCAAAAGCUUCUAUCUCAAAAAGCACAUGAGAUUUCAUAUUUUCAGUGUUAUUUUCACCAUUAUAAAAGAAAACUGUUCCUGAAUUAAUACGAUCUAAGCCUUUUUAGAAACAA